GUAGGGUGCGAGCGUUAAUCGGAAUUACUGGGCGUAAAGCGUGCGCAGGCGGUUUUGUAAGACAGGCGUGAAAUCCCCGGGCUCAACCUGGGAACUGCGUUUGUGACUGCAAGGCUAGAGUAUGGCAGAGGGGGGUGGAAUUCCACGUGUAGCAGUGAAAUGCGUAGAGAUGUGGAGGAACACCGAUGGCGAAGGCAGCCCCCUGGGCCAAUACUGACGCUCAUGCACGAAAGCGUGGGGGUAGCAAACAGGAUUAGAUACCCUGGUAGUCCACGCCCUAAACCGAUGUCAACUAGGUGUUGGGUGGGUAAAACCCAUUUAGUACCGGAGCUAACGCGUGAAGUUGACCGCCUGGGGAUACGGCCGCAAGGUUA
rnacentral:rRNA from 1 species